AAGGUUUCCGUAGGUGAACCUGCGGAAGGAUCAUUAUUGAAUAAACCAUGGUGGGCUGUCUUGCUGGCCUCCCCUACAAGGAGGUAUGUGCACGCCCAUCAACCGGUUUCUUUCACCCUUCUCCACCUGUGCACACACUGUAGGGAUCCCGGAAGAGUCGUGUCUCGCUUGACGCGGGGGGCUUCCCUUCUGGACCUUACGUUUUACAACCUACCCCACUACGAAUGUGAUAUGAAUGUAAUUAUCUAGGCCAACGUGCCUAUUAAAUAUAAUACAACUUUCAACAACGGAUCUCUUGGCUCUCGCAUCGAUGAAGAACGCAGCGAAAUGCGAUAAGUAAUGUGAAUUGCAGAAUUCAGUGAAUCAUCGAAUCUUUGAACGCACCUUGCGCCCCUUGGUAUUCCGAGGAGCAUGCCUGUUUGAGUGUCAUAAAUCUCUCAACCUUUCCCUUCUAGUUUUGUCUGGUAGGGAUGGGUUGGAUCUUGGGGGAAUUUCUUGUCGGCUCCAUUGUGUAACCGACUCCCCUGAAAAGCAUUAGCAGUCGUGCUGUCUGCCACCGGUGUGAUAGUAAAUCUAUGCCGUCUGGUCCAGUAUAUGCGUUGUCUGCUCCAAAUAGUCCAAACAGUCUUGGACAACAAUAAUUAAUGACCAUUUGACCUCAAAUCAGGUAGGACUACCCGCUGAACUUAAGCAUAU
rnacentral:rRNA from 1 species